ACGCUCGACACCUACGGGAGGCUGCAGUGGGGAAUAUUGCACAAUGGGGGAAACCCUGAUGCAGCGACGCCGCGUGAGCGAAGAAGUAUUUCGGUAUGUAAAGCUCUAUCAGCAGGGAAGAAACUGACGGUACCUGACUAAGAAGCACCGGCUAAAUACGUGCCAGCAGCCGCGGUAAUCUGAGCGGGCUGGCAAGGC
rnacentral:rRNA from 1 species